AGGGAAUAUUGCGCAAUGGGGGAAACCCUGACGCAGCAAUGCCGCGUGAGUGAGGAAGGUCUUCGGAUUGUAAAGCUCUGUCCUAGGGGAAGAAUGGCAUAGUGGUUAAUACCCAUUAUGAUUGACGGUACCCUAGAAGAAAGCACCGGCUAACUCCGUGCCAGCAGCCGCGGUAAUACGGAGGGUGCAAGCGUUGUUCGGAUUUAUUGGGCGUAAAGCGCGCGCAGGCGGAUUUGUAAGUCAGGUGUGAAAUCUCGAGGCUCAACCUCGAAACUGCGCCUGAAACUGUGAAUCUAGAAUAUGGUAGGGGGAAGGGGAAUUUCACGUGUAGGGGUAAAAUCCGUAGAGAUGUGAAGGAACACCGGAGGCGAAAGCGCCUUCCUGGGCCAUUAUUGACGCUGAGGCGCGAAAGCGUGGGGAGCAAAC
rnacentral:rRNA from 1 species